UGGGGCGUAGCCAAGUGGUAAGGCAUCGGGUUUUGAUCUCGUGUAUCGUAGGUUCGAAUCCUACCGCCCCAGCCA
rnacentral:tRNA from 1 species